UUCGUAGGCGGUGCGGCAAGUCGGGAGUGAAAUCUCUGGGCUUAACUCGGAGGCUGCUUCCGAAACUGCCGUGCUCGAGUGCGGGAGAGGCCAGUGGAAUUGCGGGUGUAGCGGUGAAAUGCGUAGAUAUCUGCAGGAACACCCGUGGCGAAGGCGGCUGGCUGGACCGCAACUGACGCUGAGGAACGAAAGCUAGGGGAGCAAACAGGAUUAGAUACCCUGGUAGUCCUAGCCCUAAACCAUCAGGACUUGGGGUGCAUCCCGUUGGGGGUGCGUCCCGUAGCUAACGCGUUAAGUCCUGCGCCUGGGGAGUACGGUCGCAAGGCUGAA
rnacentral:rRNA from 1 species